CUUAUCAGAAAACUAAUAAGAAAAACGAGGACGACCUCUCACCAGCUUCGGUCCCAUGUCCACCCACCAAUGUAGCAGGCAAAAUCUCUCCUUUUCCCUCGAGAAGACGCGCGCUCCCCUUCUACCAUCACCGUAACACCGACACGAGCAUCUGCCUCUUGCUUACCGCAGUUGCAAUAAAAAUCUCUUAUUUUGUCAGGAAAACAGUUCUUCCUUCUGGUCGCAGAAGACCCAGACGUUUCUGCUCUCUCUUUCCCCCUCCGGGCACUGAAAAGACACUCACCAGCUAUUGGUUGGUAGUUGUGCCGUCAAUCCGCCAGUUUUCUCUUUUAUUUCUGUUCGAUGGGUUUCUUUGCUCAGAUCUUUGGGCUUCGGAGCUCGAUGUUAUAACUAAUUGGUGGCUGUCGGAGGUCAAUGGCGAGCGCUCGAUUGGGGCGGAGCAUAAAGCGAGCACCUUUGGGCUUCGGCACUAAGGUGUCGCUGGUGUUCUUCUUGGGUCUGGCUUUUGUUGUCACCUGGUGGACCUUCUCCUCCCCUUCCGCCUCGGCUGUCUCCUCCCAAAGGAGCAGCUUUGACGACAUCGAAGCACUACCGGCCACUCCGGCGCCGAGGAAAGGGAAGGAGCAGAGCAGGAAGAAGGCCCAUCAGAAGAAGCCUCCCGAUUCGCUGCCCAAAAAUGAAAACUCGAGGAGAACUGCAGUUGGAUCUAAAAACGAUAAAAAGGAGAAGGAGAAGAAGAAGGGAGGAGGAGGAGAGAUCGAGCAGGUGGCGGCGGCGAAGAACGAGACGAGCAAGCCAGAAGGGCAGCAAGACGAGGAGGAGAGCGAGGAGAAGGUUGAUGUGGAGGGCUUGGAGGAGGUCACCGAUAGCGAGAAUGCAACCGACGAAGACAUGGAAGAGGGUGUUGAUGCGAAUGCCGUAGACGAUGCCGGUGAAGAUAAUUUGAAGAAUAGGAGCAAGAAGAAGAAAAAGUUGGGACCUUUGUUUGAUCCAAAGGCGCGAUAUACCUGGAAGCUUUGCAGUGGAAAGACCGGGCAUAACUACAUUCCCUGUGUGGAUAUGGAAGGCGGCCACCGACACCAUGAGAGGAGUUGCCCUCGGACUCCAAUUACGUGUUUGGUGUCUCUUCCUAAAGAUUAUAAACCUCCGGAGGCAUGGCCCGAGAGGGAGUCAAAGAUAUGGUUCAAAAAUUUGGCUCACCCAAAACUAUCAGAAGCCAUCAAAACUCACAGUUGGUUGAAUCUCUCUGGCGACUAUCUUUUCAUUCCUUCGGAGGAAUCUGAGUUCAAAGGAGGUGCUCAACACUAUGUCAGUUCAAUUGAAGAGAUGGUUCCGGACAUUGAAUGGGGUAAGAACAUUCGUGUAGUACUGGACAUUGGGUGUACAGGUGCUGGUUUUGGAGCUGUUCUUCUGAAGAAGGACGUGGCGACAUUAUCGCUGGGUCUAAUGAGUGAUCAAACAGAUAUGGCCCAACUUGCCCUGGAACGGGGUAUCCCUGCAGUGGUAGGGAAUUUGAGAUCAAGAAGGCUUCCUUUUCCAAGUAGUGUUUUUGAUGUUAUCCACUGUGGUGAAUGUGGCAUACCAUGGCAUUCUAAUGGCGGUAGGCUUCUUCUUGAGAUAAACAGAGUUCUACGCCCUGGAGGAUACUUCAUCACGUCAACCAAACAUGGAGAUAUUGAUGCUGAAGAAGGCAUGACAGCAUUGUUGUCAUCAGUCUGUUGGAAUAUUCUAGCACACAAAGCUGAUGAAGUCAGUGAAACAAAUAUCAGAAUAUAUCAGAGGCCAACAUCAAAUGAUGUAUAUGAGAUAAGAGCAACAAAAGAACCUCCUUUCUGCAGGGAAAAUGAAAACCAAGAUGCUGCUUGGUACACUCCUGUAAAAGCAUGUCUUCACAAAGUUGCAGCAGCUAUCGAACAACGUGGAACUGACUGGCCUGAGGAAUGGCCUAAGAGACUUGAAACUUUUCCAGAAUGGUUAGCUGAUUCAGAGGAUAAGUUGACUAAAGAUCAUGAGCACUGGAAAGCUAUAAUUGACAAAUCUUAUCUUGCUGGGCUGGGAAUUGAUUGGUCAAAUAUUCGGAAUGUAAUGGACAUGAAAGCAAUAUACGGAGGAUUUGCUGCUGCUCUAGCAUCUCAGAAGGUCUGGGUGAUGAAUGUAGUUCUUGUUCAUGCUCCAAAUACUCUCCCCAUCAUUUUCGAGCGUGGGCUUCUUGGUAUCUAUCAUGAUUGGUGUGAACCAUUUAGCACGUAUCCAAGAUCCUAUGAUCUUUUGCAUGCCGAUCAUCUAUUCUCACGUCUAAAGAACAGGUGUAAGCAGCCUAUUGUUAUCGUGGUUGAGAUGGACCGGAUACUAAGGCCAGGUGGUUGGGUCAUCAUCCGUGAUAAGUUGGAGAUAUUGAACCCUCUAGAGACGAUUUUGAGAUCACUACACUGGGAUAUCAGAAUGACAUAUGGCAAAGACAAGGAAGGUCUGCUAUGUGCACAGAAAACAACAUGGAGACCAUAAGAUGAUAUCCUUUACCUUGUGAUUCUCAAGUCAAAGAUACUCUAUUUUGGAGGACACAAGCCUUCUGUUUCCAGAUGUUUAUUCAUUGUCUUUACAUGAGAAAGCAACACUCUUUAACAUGGCGAUGUGGAGAAACAUUUUUCCAUGAUGAAUUGGAUGUCUUAGUUCAAGAUGGAGAAUGUUUGAUACGGUACAAUCUAUAUCUAUCUAUCUAUCUAUCAAGUAUAUGUGGUGAUAAUUUUCAUUAUUAUGAAUUGGAUGUAUUGAUUCAAGUUGGAAACAUUUGAUGUGGUAAGACCUCACACUGUGCUUUGUAAUUUCUGACAAUUUGAAGAAAAUUAGUGUUUCCAUCUGCAUUCUGCAGUAUCAAAUGUUGUUUCUUGGAUUUGUUUA